AAUGUAAUGCUGGAGCACUGAUAGAAUUGGGGAUAUAUAUAUAUAUAUAUAUAUAUAUAUAUAUAUAUAUAGGGUGCCCCCAAUUCUAUCAGUGCUCUAGCAUUACAUU
rnacentral:miRNA from 1 species